rnacentral:rRNA from 1 species
CAGCAGCCGCGGUAAUACGAAGGGAGCAAGCGUUGUUCGGAUUUACUGGGCGUAAAGGGUGUCUAGGUGGUUUUGUAAGUUGAAUGUGAAAGCCCUUGGCUUAACCAAGGAAUAGCAUUCGAAACUGCAUUACUAGAGUGUGAAAGAGGAAGACGGAAUUCCAAGUGUAGCGGUGAUAUGCGUAGAUAUUUGGAAGAACACCGGUGGCGAAGGCGGUCUUCUGGUUCAAUACUGACACUAAAGCACGAAGGCUAGGGGAGCAAACAGGAUUAGAUACCCUGGUAGUCCUAGCAGUAAACGAUGUGCACUAGAUUUGGGUUAUAUCGACAUAAUCUGAGUCGCAGCUAACGUAUUAAGUGCACCGCCUGGGGAGUACGACCGCAAGGUUGAAACUCAAAGGAAUUGACGGGGACCCGCACAAGCGGUGGAGCAUGUGGUUUAAUUCGACGCAACGCGAAGAACCUUACCCAGACUUGACAUGUAUUGGACCGUUCAUGAAAGUGAACUUUCCUUUUGGACCAAUACACAGGUGUUGCAUGGCUGUCGUCAGCUCGUGCCG